rnacentral:lncRNA from 1 species
UUUAAAUUUUAAAUUUCCUAAUUUUACAAUUUCAAAAUUUCAUUUUAGAAUAUCAAAUUUUAAAUUUUUAUUUUUCAAAUAUCAAAUUUUAAAUUUUAAUUUUCAAAUUUAAAAUUUCAUUUCAAUUUUUUUUAAAUUUCAAUUUCAAAUUUAAAAUUACAUUUUAAAUUUUAAUUUACAAAAAUUUUAAUUUCAAAUUUCAAAUUUAAAUUUUCUAAUUUUCUAAUUUUAAAUUUUUAAUUUUUAAAUGUCAAAUAUCAAAUUUCAAUUUUCAAAUUUGAAAUUUCAUUUCAACUUUUUUAAAAUUUCACAUUUGACAUUUCAAGUUUUAAAAUGAUAUUCUGAAUUUCAAAUUUCAAAAUUUAAAAUUUUAAUUUUAAUUUCUUAAA